GCGGCAGGGGGAGGCGGGAGGCGGGAGGCGGGAGGCGGGCGCGCUGACUCCCAUGCCGCCCUCGGUGCCACUCGCGCGCCGGCCGCGCUCCGGGCUUCUCCUUUCCCUCCAACGCGCAGCUGCUGCCCAGACAUUCCGACCGCCGGGUCUGGAGAAAUCCCUGAGCCCGCCCGCAGAGAGAAGCAAGGCGGGACCAGGGUGGCCCCCGGGGCGCCCUGGGUGGCGAAGAAGCGGGGAAGAGGCCGGAGGAUGAGCGGCUGAGGGCGACGCGGGCACUGACGCGAGUUGGGGCCGCGACCACGGGCAGCUGGCAGAGCGAUGAGCGAGUCCUCGGAGACUCCCUAGCCCGGUGCGCGCGCCGGGCGGAGCGCGCAGGUGGGGCUGGGCUCUCCGCUGUCCGCCCCGCGCGGGUCCCAGCCGGCCCAGGAUGGGCGCUGGCAACCCGGGUCCGCGCCCGCCGCUGCUACCUCUGCGCCCGCCGCGAGCCCGGCAUCCGGCUCGCGCCCUGCGCUCAUGGACGGCGGCUCCGGGCUGGCGGCGGCGCGCCCCCGGGCUGUGAAUGCGACUCGCCCCUCGGCCGCGCUCCCCGCCCGCCCGCCCGCCGGGACGUGGUAGGGGAUGCCCAGCUCCACUGCGAUGGCAGUUGGCGCGCUCUCCAGUUCCCUCCUGGUCACCUGCUGCCUGAUGGUGGCUCUGUGCAGUCCGAGCAUCCCGCUGGAGAAGCUGGCCCAGGCACCAGAGCAGCCGGGCCAGGAGAAGCGCGAGCACGCCUCUCGGGACGGCCCGGGGAGGGUGAACGAGCUCGGGCGCCCGGCGAGGGACGAGGGCGGCAGCGGCCGGGACUGGAAGAGUAAGAGCGGCCGUGGGCUCGCCGGCCGGGAGCCGUGGAGCAAGCUGAAGCAGGCCUGGGUCUCCCAGGGCGGGGGCGCCAAGGCCGGGGACCUGCAGGCUCGGCCCCGUGGGGACACCCCUCAGGGGGAAGCCCUGGCCGCAGCCGCCCAGGACGCAAUCGGCCCGGAACUCGCGCCCACGCCCGAGCCACCCGAGGAGUACGUGUACCCGGACUACCGCGGCAAGGGCUGCGUGGACGAGAGCGGCUUCGUGUACGCGAUCGGGGAGAAGUUCGCGCCGGGCCCCUCGGCCUGCCCGUGCCUGUGCACCGAGGAGGGGCCGCUGUGCGCUCAGCCCGAGUGCCCGAGGCUGCACCCGCGCUGCAUCCACGUCGACACGAGCCAGUGCUGCCCGCAGUGCAAGGAGAGGAAGAACUACUGCGAGUUCCGGGGCAAGACUUAUCAGACUUUGGAGGAGUUCGUGGUGUCUCCAUGCGAGAGGUGUCGCUGUGAAGCCAACGGUGAGGUGCUGUGCACGGUGUCAGCGUGUCCCCAGACGGAGUGUGUGGACCCUGUGUACGAGCCUGAUCAGUGCUGUCCCAUCUGCAAAAAUGGUCCAAACUGCUUUGCAGAAACCACUGUCAUCCCUGCUGGCAGAGAAGUGAAGACUGACGAGUGCACCAUAUGCCACUGUACUUACGAGGAAGGCACAUGGAGAAUCGAGCGGCAGGCCAUGUGCACAAGACAUGAAUGCAGGCAAAUGUAGACCCUUCCCAGAACACAGACUCUGACUUUUUCUAGAACAUUUUACUGACGAGAACAUUCUAGAUAUCGAUCAAAGGAGAGAAGACUUUUAAUGAGGAAUAAUGGAAAAUUGUGGGUCCUUUUGCUUUUCUUGAUAGCAGUUACUACAACAGAAGGAAACGGAUAUAUUUCAAAACAUCAACGCGAACUUUGGGCAUAAAAUCCCUCUCUAAAUAAAUGGGCUAUUUUCACAAUGGAGAACACUGUGCUUAGUGUUGAAGAUACCAAAGGGAACUCAAGUGAGGGGAAAAGAGGAGAGCAAACUGAUCAAAAGGGAAUGCCCAUGAUGCUUUCAGGAAUCAAGGGUGAGAACAUGCUGGCUGGAGGAUGGGUCUGGUUUCCAGCAGAGAUGAUAAGAGUUAAAUGGCAUAGAUCCACCAACAGGAACAGACCAUAAAUGCUCCAAGAGAAGCCAAAGCACAGGAAAAGCAUGACCUGACAGCAAAAAACCCUUCUGGCUGUUUGCACUUUACUCCAGGUAAACAACUACGUACCUCUGAUUUGAAUGGGCCCACCAGGAGCUGGUCUCUCACCCACCCUCCAGGCAUAAAAGCAGGCAGCACUCCUGUCUUCCUGUUUGGUGGCGCCUAGUCCAUUUCUGCACCUCCUGUGCUGAGAAGUGGUGUAAAUGCUGUUCAUAUGUUCUUUUGUGUAGGAUUCCAAGCGUGGGCAUCAGCCCUUCUAUUAGCCCCUGGAUGGCAGUGAUACGUAUAUAUAUGUAUAUGUGUGUGUGUAUAUAUGUAUAUGCACAUAUAUGUAUACAUACACAAAUAUAUACACAUACAUAUAUGUGUAUGUAUAUGUGUGUACAUACACACACAUAUGUAUAUAUACAUGAACACACAUACAGAUACAGUAUGUACACACUCAAUGAGUACAUAUGCAUCCCUGUAAAGAUGAACCAUUAGACUGGCCAGAUGGCACUAAUUUGCUUCUGAGUGGAUGACUGGUGUCCCUGGGGAACAGUGCUGUAUUGGGACCCAGUCUGGGCCUCUUUUCCAGAUAGGUUAGACAUUCAGAGGUGGUAGUAGCUACAUAAGCCUAGGAAAGCAGCUAUCCAUGCUAUUGGGUGCAUAUAUCACUCCAUUGCUCUAUCUUGGCCACUCCCUUCAUGUGUCUGGUGGGGUUCUGGCAGAGCUGAUGAUGAUGAAAGAUGAUCAAUGCCAAUUACCUGGAAAAAUUACCUACUUGGUUGUUCAGUGUCUCUUUUAAGGUAUGUGUUUUCUGCUGAGUCUUAACUAAUGCAAUUGAAGUCUUCACACUUUGCACUCAUGUCCAUGUGUCCAUCCACAGGCCUCUGCCUCAGACCUCCUAGCCUCCAGUCUUUCCAUCUUUCCUCCCAGGUCCCUGGCUGCAGCCACAUCGUUGGCUGCUGUCUAAGCAUUAAACAUAUUCUCCCCUCUCCACUGUUUUUUGGAUCUCCCCUAAAACAGGGCAGUCACUGUCAAAUUUUGGCUUCACCUACUGACAGAACCCAGCAAUCAAGCUUGCAAUUUUUCCUCAUGUGAGCUUGGGGAAGGGAAAUGGUACGAUUGUUGUGGGUGAUUUGGGAGUUUGGUCUGUCAGCAAAUGUAGCUUACUUGGGACCUCUGGACCCGCUUGGACUCAGUUGUGAAUGGACUGCUGUUGGGUCAGUGGACUCCACAUAAUGGGCAGUUCUGGGUGUGUAGUCACUUGGUGCUCCAUAGCUAAGCAUUCCAUCUGCCUCUAGUUCUUGCAUUACUAUGUCUACCUCUUCUUCCAUCAAUCCUGGCCAAUAGAGAAAACCCACCAAUUAGGUGUUUAGUGAUGCUGGUAGUGCUUAGACAAGUGUGCCCCUGAUGGUGCCAUGAAUGGUGUCCUUGAGUCGUCUUGUGGGGCAUAACGCUCUGUUGGUUUUUUCUGACCUCAUAGAGUUUAUGAGCUCCAGCAUUCCCAAUUCUAUCGGCUUCUCUAUUCUUUCUUCUGCCACCUGCAGCUUAGGCAUUUCUAUCACUUUUUCUAGCAGUAAGUUUGCCCAAAGCCAUCAAUCUUGUUCAAUCCCUCAGUUUCUCAUUCCUUUUCAAAGCAUCAGUUUCAUUUAACAGUAGUCUGCCACCUCUGCUGUCCUUGCUGGCACCCUUAUCCCCUUCUUAGACCUAACCCAUCACACCUAUAGACACAGGCCACUCACAGGGAGUGGGCAAUGAAUGAGUCCCAGAGCCCCAUUCCACUGCCUAUAUUCUAAGGCCAGAAUCUCCUGGCAUCACUUGGGCUAGUUUGAAUCCGCUGAGAAACUAAAAAAAAUAGGAUUAGAUGUGUAAGAGAUAUAUUAUAGUUUAAAAUGUCUGUGAGAGGAAAAGGGAAGGAAGAGAGAAGAGGCUGGGAUAUCCCCUGGAUAACAAUGCAGGUCUGAACCUGUGAGGAAGGCCUUAGACUGCAGUUAGCUUUGAGCAGCAACUGGCUGCGAAGGAGUGGCCCUCCAGCCAUGGCUGCCACAGGAAAUUCUCGCAUAGCCAGGAAAGGCUGACAGAAGGCCUCUGCUAUGCUCAGUCUAGAGGCAUGGAUGCAGCGCAAACAGGGUGGAAUCAGAGUGCAGCAGUGGAGCCAUCGGUCGGUGACUCCUUAUAGCAGAAGGUCAGAGAGCCACAUUUUGAUAGCUGCCACACCUUCAUUCCGGGCCAUUACCAGCCCCACCUAUACUAGGUGUUAUAAUCUUCAAUUAACUUUUACCACAGGACAAAGAAGUACUCAGAUAUGCCACAGAGCAUCUCCCUAUCUCUGCUGUGUAAUGGGAACCCAAUUUCCCCUUGAUGGUUAGGAUCAACCACUCCAGCCAGUACAGCAACCUCUUUUGUGCCAGCUGGUUCAACAACAUGACGUGGCAGUCCUGGCUUACAGUUUAUUGGAAGCAUUCCUCCCUUGAGAAGUAUGACUUCCAAAAUAGCAGAGUCCAAAAUGACAGACACAGGAAGCAAAUGUUUUGCUAGUAGAUAUCCAGGGUAGUAGUGAGAAUUUAUUCCCAUCACCACCCCUCCAACCCAUACGUAACUCUGAGACCCAUGGCUCUUAAUCAUGGAAGCAAUAGCACCAUAUAUUACAGUCGUAUCAGAAGGGACAGUUCUAGGGCUUUCCACUAUGCCCUCCUUACAAUAUUUAGAAAAACAGCAUUGACCAUAGAACCAAUGAGGGUGAUUUGGCAAAUUGCUAUUCGUUGCUGAUUCAGAGCAAAAAUCACACCCAGAAGAGAUUACAGUAGCUCAACUAAAUGAUGUCACGCAACUGCCAUCAUAAGCAUCCUCAGCAGCCCAUUACACCAUUCUACUACUCCAGAUGCUACAAGGUAAUGGAGAACAUGGUACAACCAAUGAAUUAUAUGAGCCCACUGCCACACGUCAUUGAUUAUGAGUUCCCUGGUUAGUAGUACUGCUGUGAGGAAUACAACAGCAAUAUAUUUAUUUAGUAAGACUACAGAUGGUGGUUUUGGCAGAAAUACUGUAGUCAGGGAAAGCAAAUCUAUAUCAAAUUUCAAUAUGGACAGAGCAUUGCCCCUCUCAUGAUGAACUUGAUCCAAUGUAAUCAAGCUGGUACCAGUUGGCUGGCUGUCUCCCUGGUCAGUGCUGCCAUACUGGGGGCUCCUUGGUGGACUCUGCUGUUGGAAAACUGGGCACUCAGAAGAGCUGUAGCUAGAUUAUGCCUUGGUAACCAUGCGGACCUUCCAUCUUUAUUUUCACGGCCACUUUGUUCAUGACCUUUUGGCAAAGAAGAAAGAGGUUGACCAAUGCCUACAGAAAGAGUCAUGUUGUCCACUGGGUUCCUAAGGUUAUUUGCUGAGUUUCUCAUUAGUGUGCAUUCCUACAUGCUGUGUGCUUGUUUGGACAUAUCUAGUUACAUACACUUUUCUUACAACACUGUCACCGAAUUUCCAAUCUUAUUCCUUCUAUGCCUCUGGGCCACAUUGUUGACUUAUUGCUUAAGAAUCUGUGCAGGUCCAUACCUCUAGUCAUCUCUCAUUCUCAACAAGGUGGACAGACUGGUGUACUGCUCUGAGCCUGAUCUAUUGAUAUUUCUCUUCCCCACUCUCCUUCGGGACCAGCCCUGUGGGUAGGGCUGUCUACUUGUGGCUGCUGCCAACAGACUGUGUACACCAAUCUAUAAAUGAGGCUCAGAUAUCAUAAAGAACUCCCCAUGAGGUCAUAGGGGCAGGCUGAAAUGGGGGUGGCAAGAGCAGAAACCAUGAAGGUUUGAGCCACUUGUUUGUUCAACUUACCACUUCCUCAGGACCUGCUUGAGCCAAAUCUUGUACACACUGUUACACCAUUCCCAGUGGAUAAAAGAGUGCUGCUAUGCUUACCCAACUCCUUGUCUCAGUGGUUUAGACAACACCUCUCUCAUGAUGUAGCUCAGAUUACAUAGUAACUUGUUGGCCCAAACUGGAACCAGCACCAAUCCAAAAACUGCUUCUCAAAAGGAGAAUAGUUAUCUACAGAGAAUAGCAUGGCCUUCUCUAACAUCCCAAAGGUUCACACUAUGAUCCUCACCUCUAGUAUCCUGUCCAAGAGUUCACACGACACCUUUAUCUGCCAUGACACUCUGAGCAUGCUUGUACUGAUGUGUUGCAUUUUCCAAGUGGAGAGCACCUUUCACAGUGGCCUGGAAUGGUUGCAGAGCCAGUUUCUACUCUGAGCCCCAUUCAAAAUUGUCAGGCUUUCCAGUGACUUAAGAAAUGAGCAGGAGGACCAUGCCCAGUGGAAAUAAAUGUUGACUCCCAAAUCAAGAGGGUCCUCCACAUUCUAGGCAUUGAGUCUCUUCGUUGACUAAAGAAGCCACAUAAAUGUGUCCAUAACCAUGGAAGGAUAUGAACAUGCCCCGGAUCACAGGAAGAUGACCUGGAUGCAGAACAAAGGAGAGCAAGCACAAGCUGGGGCCUUGAGGCAUCUCUGCAUCCUUUGUCACCAUGCUUGACCAGGAUGAUACAACACAACACAACACAACCCACCAAAAGAGACCUGUUCUGCCCAAGAAAAAUCCAAAUGCGGCCAAUGACACCCUGUGUCUUGGACCUCUGACUUCUCAAAGAGAGUAAACUGAAACACGGUUUAGCUUCCAGAAGGGGGAAUGCAAGGAAUAAAGAAGACAACUACACAGGAUAGAACCAGGGACCAAACAAAAAACUUAAACAAAGUUGAUAGCAGGAAGGUCUCACUGUAUCUUGUCCACCUGGAUAAGUACUGAGAUAUAUUUGACUUUCCUCCAUUUUCUGCAUGGGAGUUUUAAAUCAGUUACUUUCUACUUUCUCACACAUUUUAUGAGGUAGAGGCAGAUAAACUGUCUAGACCAUAUGGGCCCUGGACCUGAUGCAAACUUCUCCAUAUCAUCCAUGACUCAACACGCAUCAGUUAGAUGCAGUAACUGGGUGAGAGUUUGAAGUUGUAUUACAUGGGGAGAAGAAUGCGGACAUUACAUGUAUAUGUUACCAAUGUGAAGGGUGUGUAUCAAUGCACACAAGUGAAAAGGAUGAUUUGUGUAAGAAAAAGACACUGGCCUGUUCAACACUCAUUCAAAGUCCUUGUCUCCUUUUAAAUACUUUUCUCUAUUAAUGAGAAUAAAAAAAUGAAGCUAUCAAUUUCUCAUCUCCCUUAUAGUAUCAGGUGACCCUGUGACACUUCCAUUCAAUGUAAUGUAAAAGUCCUGUAGAAGGUUUUUCAUUUUUGUAUUUUUUUCUGAAUGGAAGGCCAAUUAAGAGCCUGGAGGCAUAAGGGCAUCUGCAACCUUGAGGACAAAAGCUGCACUAAGGAUUGUGGUGGUUGGGGGGGAAAGGGUACAAGUGGUCCGAGGUCAAGAGGUGCUGGAGAGCCACUGAACGACCUAUAGGGAACCAUUGAAUCAGGGCCCUCAGGAUCUUGCCACAAAACCAAAUUGUAACUGACACAUCUUCACCACUUACCAGCUAUUAAACCUGUGAAGGUAUUAAAUUAUUGUGACUCAUUUUCCUCAUGUACUAAUUAGAGUAACAAUAACUCACAAACUUAGGCAAAUUAAAUAUGAAAAUCUAUGUAGUAGGUUUCAAACAAUAUCUUUCAUAUAAUAAACACUCAAUAAAUAACUACCACCAGCAACAGCAACAUUAUUACAUCAGAGAAGUUAAACCUCACUAGUACUCAAAAAAACGAAAAUAGAGGAAGAAACUAUUUCCAUAUAUCACAUUACAUGAAUGACUUAAAAUCGAUACUGGAAAACAUGCAAUAAAAUACAUAUUCUGAUAUAUCAUUGGUUGUACUGGAAAUUGGCAUAAUCUAUAGAAAAUACACUUGGCAAAUGGUCCAGAAGAUUAGAAAUACCUAAAUCUAGCAAUUCUACUUCUGGGUAUUUCGCAUAAAAAAACAACUUUAAAAUAUCACAAAAUUUUAAGUUAAGAAGAUGUCAACUGUAACGCAACACAUAAUAGUGAAAAUUUGAAAGCAAUAAAAAUGUCCAACAAUUAGCAAGGCUUAAACCAUAUGAUUUGGUUUGGCUCUGUGUCCCACCCAAACCUCACCUUGAAAUGUAAUAAUCCCCACAUGUCGUGGGUGGGACCCUGUGGGAGGUAACUGAAUCAUGGGGGCAAGGUUUUUCUGUGCUGUUCUCUUGAUCAUGAAUAAGUCUCACAAGAUCUGAUGGUUUAUAAAGGGGAGCUCCACUGCACAUGCUCUCUUGCCUGCCACCAUGUAAGAUGUGACUUUGCUCUUCAUUUGCUUUCUGCCAUGAUUGUGAGGGCUUCUGCACCAUGUGGAACUGAGAGUCGAUUAAACCUGUUUCCUUUAUAAUAGUCUAGGGUAUGUGUUUAUUAGCAGUGUGAGAAAUUACUAAUACAGUAAAUUGGUAUUGCAAGUGGGGCAUUGCUGAAGAUACCUAAAAAUGUGGAAGCAACUCUGAAACUGGGUAACAGGCAGAGGUUACAACAGUUUGGAGGGCUCAUAAGACAGGAAAAUGUAGGUAAGUUUGGAAAUUUCUAGAGACUUAUUGAACAGUUUUUCCCAAAAUUCCGAUAGCGAUACGGAGAAUGAUGUCCAGGUUGAGGUAGUCUCAGAUGGAGAUGAGGAGCUUGUUGGAAAUGGGAGUAAAAGUCACUGUUGCUAUGCAAAGAGACUGGUGGCAUUUUGCCCACCCUAGAAAUCUGUGGAACUCUGAACUUGAGAGAGAUGAUUUAGGGUACCCAUCAGAAGAAAAUUCUAAGUGGAAAAGUGCUCAAGAGGAAGCAGAGCAUAAAAGUUCAGAAAAUUUGCAGUGACAAUGGGAUAGAAAAGAAAAACCCAUUUUCUGGGGAGAAAUUCAAGCUAGCUGUAGAAAUUUGCAUAAGUAAUGAGGAGCCAAAUGUUACUCACCAAGAAAAUGGGGAAAUGUCUUCAGGGCAUGUCAGAGACAUGCACAGCAGCCUCUCCUAUCACAAGUUUGGAGGCCUAGAAGGAAAAAAAUGGUUUUGUGGGCAAGGCCUGGACCCCCUUGUUCUGUGUGGCCCAAGGCCAUGGUGUCCUGCACAUCCCAGCUGUUUCAGCUCCAGCUGUGGCUAAAAGGGGCCAAUAUACAGCUCAGGUCAUUGCUUCAGACAGAAGAAGCCCCAAGCCUUGACAGUUUAUAUGCAGUGUUGGGCUUGGAGGUACACAGAGGUCAAGAAUUGAGGUUUGGGAACCUCUGCUAGAUUUCAGAGAACGUAUGGGAAUACCUGGAUGUCCAGGCAGAGGUGUGCAGCAGGGGUGGAUUUCUCAUGGAAAACCUCUGCUAAAGCAGUGUGAAAGGGAAAUGUGGGCUGGGAGCCUCUAGACAGAGUCCCCACUGGGGCACUGCCUAGUGGAGCUGUGAGAAGAGGGCCACCGUCCUCCCAACCCAAAAAUUGGGAGAUCCACCAACAGCUUGCACUGUGUGCCUAGAAAAGCCACAGAAUGCCAGCCUGUGAAAGCAGCCAGAAGGGGAGCUGUAUCCUGCAAAGUCACAAGGGUGGAGCCGCCCAAGCCUGUAGGAACCCAUUUCGAAUCAGCAUGACCUUGAUGUGAGACAUGGAGUCAAAGGAGAUCAUUUCAGAGCUUUAAGAUUUUGCUGCACUGCUGGGUUUUGGAAGGGGCCUGUAGCCCCCUUCUUUUUGGCCAAUUUCUCCCAUUAGGAAUGUGUGUAUUUACCCUAUGAUUGUAGCCAUAUUGUAUCUAGGAAGUGAUUAACUUGCUUUUGAUUUUACAGGCUCAUAGGCAGAAGGGACUUGUCUCAGAUGAGACUUUGGUCUGUGGACUUUUGAGUUAAUGCUGAAAUGAAUUAAGACUUUGGGGGACUGCUGGGAAGGCAUGAUUGCUUUUGAAAUGUGAGGACAAGAGAUUUGGGAGGGGUGAGAGGUGCAAUGAUAUGGUUUGUCUGUGUCCCCACCCAAAUCUCACCUUGAAUUGUAAUAAUCCCCACAUAUCAAAGGCAGGGCCAGGUGGAGAUAACUGAAUCAUGGAGGCAGUUUCCCUCAUACUGUUCUCCUGGCAGUGAGUAAGCCUCACAAGAUAUGAUGGUUAUAUAAACGGGAGUUCCCCUGCACAUCCCCUCUUGCCUGGCACCAUGUAAGACAUGACUCUUCUCCUCGUUCACCUUCCACCAUGAUUGGGUGAGACUUCCACAGCCAUGUGGAACUAUGAGUCAAUGAAAACUCUUUCCUUUAUAAAUUAUCCAGUCUUGGGCAUGUCUUUAUGAACAGUGGGCACAGACAAACCUUAUUCUAGUUUUUCUGCUGAAAUGUAUGAAUAUUAUAGUCAUCAGAAUUAUGUUAAAGAGGUUAAAAAAUAGUAUGGAAAUAUAUCUAUCAUAAUAUUAAGAAAAAUACUCACUACAUAUGGUACCUAUAGCAUGAAAAAAAGUUCACACAAAAGUAGGAAAUUUACCAAAAUGUCAGCAGACAUUCAGGUUAUGAAACUAUAAGUGGUAUUUUCCCUUUAUUUCGAAUCCUCUACAAAUUUCCUGUAAUUAAUACUGUAGCAUUUAGAAUAUUUUUAGCUACAAGUAACAGAAAACCCAACUUGCUUAAAAAAAAGAAACUUUCCUAUUUGACUGAACUAAGAAGUCUAGGACAGGUUGGGGUUCAGGUAUAAUAAGGACUAGUAAUUCAACACCAUCAUGAAUGCUCCAGUUCUUUUUAUAUCUUCACUGUGUAUCCUCACUGUGGGCUUCACCCUCAAGCUGGUUCAACUCAUGGUCACAAGGCAAUGGCCAGAAAAGCUAUGCGUUGACUGGCUAAAAGAGUCGUUCUCUGGAGUAAAGAAACUUGGUGCUCCAUUAGGAAGGGGAGAAGUGAAUUGAUGUUGGAGAGAUAAGCAAUGUCUUCUCUACUUGGCUCCUAUUUUAACUUUUUAAAGUACAUUUAUUGCUUUCAAGAUUGUGAAUAUAAUUCAUUUCACUGCAGAAAAUCUGGAAAACACAGGGCAUUAAAAAAAAACCUCACACAUGAUCCCAUUACAUGAAACAACCUUUGUUAACAUUUUGGUGCAUUUUGUUUAAAAAUGUACACAACACAGAUAACAAUUGUACACGUGUAUGUAAUCUUAAUUAAUUUGUAAAUGUGAUUUUAAUGGUACAAUAAUAUUCUAUCAAAUGGAAACAGCAUAAUUUAUUCAACCAAUUAUUUUGUAAGUCAUUUAUAUUAUUUUCCUUUUUAUUAUUAUAUAUAAUACAGAAAUUAAUACCAUUGGAUGUAAUAUUUCACUUUGUUUUUGAUUUACUUCUGUAGUAAAAUUUCCAUUGAGAUUACUGAACCACACUUGUUAAGGCUCUUUUACCAUAUUGCCAAAUAAACAGAUCUUACAUAGUUAUAAUUUUAAAAAACAAAUUAAAAAAAAAUAAAAAUUGGGAAUUAUAUUUGCUCUAUUAACUUCACAGGCUGGUAUAAUUAUCAGAUUGUAUAAUAACUAAAAAUGUUUUGUGAAAAUUGAAGCAUGAUAUAAAUGUAAGAUAUUAUUUUGAUGCAAGCAAAUAAAAAACACUUGAAACUG